GCGGCAGCCAGCGAGAGGGGAGAAACAGAUUCACACCCAGGGGCCUCCGGGCAGGGCCCACGGGACUCAGGCCGUGUCCCGCUUGGAAUGUGGAGCAGGCGCGGCCUCGGCGUCAGCAGAGCUCCCCUGCAUCUCCUCCUGGGGGUGUGGGGGCCGAGUGGGAGAACUGGCGGACAGAGGAAAGGGGCCUCGCUCGCAAGGCCCGGGCGGGGAGGCCUGGCCUCCUGCUCAGUCGGUGCAAAUGGAAAAAGAGACGUUCUGUUUCUCCGGAAAACCCUGACUAAUACAGUAGAGGAUAUCCAGAUUGACAACUUCAGGAGAAAGUCUGAUUUAGGAGUCGGAAGCCCAGAUUGGAAAAACCUCUUGAUAGAUGUCACUCGGGAAGACCAUGAAAACAGCCAAAAUAAUUCAAAGAGAAGAUGCAAAGUGAACUGUGAAACAGACCAAAGAUGAAUCUCUUUGGUAAAUCCCCUGCCUAAAUCCCCUGCCAUGGAAUAGCUGCCUAAACUUGGGCAAAUAACUUGACAUUUCUCAGUUUCCACAUUCCAAAAAUGGAUUUUUAUGAGAAUUAAAUGUUAUGAUGCAUUCCAGCUACCUGUCCUAGAACCUGGCAUAAGAGCUCAGUACAUGCUGGGGAGGGUUAUCAUCAUCGUCAUCAUCAUCUUAUUAACAUUCAUGUUGAAGGGAUGAUGGGCUGCUGAGAAGUUCAUGAAGAAGGUGAAAAACUAUUACAGAGGUGGGAGGAAAAAGAGAGGACUAUCACAGAAGCAGAAGAGCUGAGAGUAUUGAGAAAGGGUGACGGGUUAGGGGGACUAGCAAGUACCCUCUGGCGUUGGCAAUAUUCAGUUUGUUGAAGGCCUUGAUGAACUUUAAUGAAGUGGUGAGAGUUAAACAAAGCUGAGAUAGGAUAUGAAUCUCAGGGAGGAUAUGAGGACUCAUUGAUUACCAUUCCAAGAAACUUGUCUGAAAAGGAAAGAAGAGAUGGUGGUAAUCAGAGCAGAGUGGCAGGAUGCAGGGAGUUUUUAUUUAUUUAUUUGUUCUUGUUGCUGACAUUGUUUUCAUACUAUUUUUUGUUUGUUAAAGAGGGAGAGUUGUGAGUAUAAAAUAACCUAUAAAUAGGGAAAACCAGGAACAGAUUCAUGUGAAAGCCCUUGACUGAGAACAGAAUUAAUUACCCGUGCAGAGGUAGUCUUCAAGCCUUGGCAGGUAAGCAACUGUCUGAGACACAGCUGGCUCGGGAACAGGGCCUUUCUUUGGCUGGCAGGCUUGAGGCAGCAUAAUUUGGAAGCGGAUAUGAGAAAGGGCAUAAUAAUGUGAAAUUUGACUGCCUAGUGGGGGAGAAACUUUGAAUAUUAUGAGGCGGUUAUGAAAGUAUUUCCUUCUUAUGGCUUCAAUGGCACUGCCUCUGAGCAUUAGUGUUUGUCCUCAGGAGGUAAGUGUGGGGACUGUAUCAGCAGUUACUACCUAGAUAAGCACGGUGUAUAGGGGUAACAUGGUUUAUAGAGCAUGCAAGCCUUCACCUCUUUGCUAGAUGAGAUAUGGAACCUAAAUUCGGAGACCACGUGACCCCUGAGGCAUGGGGAGGUGGGGUCAGAAAGCGUUACUGGCCAUGAUCCAGACCCAGGCGUGGAGAAACGACCUACUGGGGUUUUCAGGGAGCAGGAAGGUGGGGCAGGUACAGAGUAUAUUCUGGGGGACAGUUUCAUAAAAAGUGAGUAGAUCUCCACAACUUAGUUUCUAGACUAAAUGGACUAAGCAUGUUCCGCCCUAUUCUUCCUACUAACAAUAACAAAAAGCUCUGGACAAAAUUUAUAAAGCAACCCACAGAAGACUCCGAAGUUGGAAAAAGAAAUAAAAACUGGCGAUUUCCUCCAUACUCAAGGCAUCAUGUAGCAGGGAGUGCCUUGGGUGUUGUUUAUGUGUUUGUUUUCUUUUGUUCAUUAAUUUUUUUCUCCCGUGUAUGGCAGUGUGGGCUCUAGCAAUGCCUACCACCCGGAAACACAGAUGGGUACAAAUUUAAAAACCCCAAGAAAACUCUUUUUAGCCAAAUGACCAGUGUUUCCAGCAGAGCAAAAACAUUUUGACCACAUCUGCCCUUUUGUGCUGGCUAACCCCUUCCCCUGCCACCAUGUGCUGCUGGGGGGACAUUGUGGAUGAAGCCCACUCAUUUAUUCCUCCUCCUGCAGUAAUGUGACCAUACCCUUCCCACUCCUAACUAGAGGCUGGGGGAGGACUAUGUGGGGGAGAGAACUGGAGAAAGCAAUUUUCUAAAUUUGUGUAUGAAAUCCUGGUUAGAACUCUGAGUGCCCCAUGCACAAAACAGACAAGAAACAACACAGCAAAAAGAUUCAAGGGUCAGAAAAACUGAACACUGGUCUGAAACACUGCCCGGGUUUCAGAUUGGCAUCAGGGUAGCACCCAAGUGGGGCAGAUUGAAAUAGCACUGUAAAGGCUUUGAAAAUGAAAUGACUUUUGAGCCACAGCUCACAAAGUGAACCGGAACAAGCAUUCUGAACUUAAACAGGUCAAGUGCCUGCUAAAAUCAAAGACUGAAAUGGGAACCAGAAUAAUAUAACAUACUACUGAAAAUGUCUAGGAUGCAAUCCAAAAUCUCAUCACACUGAAAACCAUAAAAAUCUCAACUUGAAAGAGAAAAGGCAAUUGUAAGCAUUGAGAUUACACAGAUGUUGAAACUAUCCAGCAAGAAUCAUAAAGCAGCUAUUAUACAAAUGCCCUGAUUUUAAAGCAAGUAUGAAUGCUCGAAACAAAUGACAAAGUGGAAAGUCACAGCAGAGAAAUAGAAAAUGUAAGGAAGAACCAAAUGGAAAUUUUAAAACUGAAAAAUACAAUAACCAGUUUUUAAAAAUUACUAGAUUCAGAGGGAAAGACCAACAACUCAGAAAAAAUGGGCAAAGGAUAUGAAGAGUUUACGGAAAAGGAAAUGUAGAUAACUCUUACCCAUAUAAAAAUAUGUUCAGCCUCACUCAUAUAAGAAAAAUCAAAAUUGAAAUUACACUGAGACACUGCUUUUCACCUGUCAGAAUGGCAAAACUCAAAGUGUGAAUAUACGCUAUGAGAAUGUGGAAAAUUCUCAUAGAUUGCUUGUGGGCAUCUAGAACAAUUUGGUUGAAUCACUAAAAUCCACAUGCCAUUUGGCCCUGCAAUUCUACUUUUAGAAAUUUAUCAUAUAGGAAACCUGCAUAUGAGUGAAAUGACAUACGUGGAGUGUUACUCCUGGCUGCAUUGUUGGUAAUCACAAAGAACACUAGAAAAAACUUAAUGUCCAUCAAUAAGAUGCUGAUUAAAUUAAUUAUUAUACGUCAUACAAUGGAAAGUUAGAAAACCGUAAAAAAAUGAAACCCUCUCUAUAACCUGCUACCAUAUAAUAAAUAAAAGGACAGGCAAUGAU
rnacentral:lncRNA from 1 species